rnacentral:lncRNA from 1 species
AAAAAAAAAAAAAAAGUGAAAUGGGACUAUGGGGGUGAUGUUAUUCAGCUGACAUACAAAUUAUCUGAUAUACAUUUUAAUAUUUUAUGCAGCAUCCAUUUGAUUGCAUUUGUAAAAUAAUUAAUUAUUUUUAUAUUUAUGAUAAUAAAUAAUUAAUGACAUUUUCAAAUUAACUGUUUGUUUAUUUCUAUAUAGCAUGUAUUGAUUAUAUUUAUAAAAUAAUUAAUAAUAAAAUCAAUUAUUUUCAUACAUAUUAUAUCAAAUGAUUGUUGACAUAUGAAUUCCAAUGAAUAUAUAUAUAAUGUCACAAUCUAUAUAUAUAUAUAUAUAUAUAUCUAUAUCUAUAUAUAUAUAGAUAUAUAUAUAUAAAACUGGGACUUGAGGAGGUGAUGUGGCAUCACCAUUUUUCAUCUUUGUAUAUUCUCUAUUAUCUAAUAAAUAGAGAAAUUUUCUUUUAGAUUUGGUUUUUCAUCUUCUCAUAAUUAAUUUGAUUGUUAUUACACAAUAAUAAUUAUGUAAAGGUUUUAAUGAGGUAUAUUCUUUGUAAUAAACAUCCAAGGGGGAGUGUUAUGAAUUUAUUAAAAUAAAUGUAAAUAUUCAUAACAUAUAUCUCUUAGUCUCCCCACUAUCUCACAUUAGCAACCUUUAGCUUCCCUAUAACUCCUACUAUCUCACAAGAAAUUAUGAUCAAUAAUUUUUCAUUAAUUUCAUGGCGUGAUUAUGUAACUAUAAAAGGAGAGCUCAUCUUUUUAUUUUGUACACACACAAUUGGAAUGAAUAAAAUCACUCUAUAAUAUAUUCUCUCAAUUUAUUCUUUAUAUAUAUAUAUAUAUAUAUAUAUAUAUAUAUAUAUAAAGGUGGGACUACAAGAGGUGAUGUGGCAUCACUAUUUCUCAUCUUUGUAUAUUUUCUAUUAUCUAAUAAAUAGAGAAAUUUUCUUUUAGAUUUGACGUUUCAUCUUCUUAUAAUUAAUUUUAUUGUUAUUACACAAUAACAAUUAUGUAAAGGUUUUAAUGAGGCAUAUUCUUUGUAAUGAACAUCCAAGGGGGAGUGUUAUACAUUUAUUAAAAUAAAUGUGGAUGUUCAUAACAUAUAUCUCUUAAUCUCCACACUAUCUCCCAUUAGCAACCUUUAGCUUCCGUAUAACUCCCACUAUCUCACAAGGAAUUAUGAUCCAUAAUUUUUCAUUAACGAUUAUGUAACUAUAAAAGGAGAGCUCAUCUUUUUGUUUUGUACACACACAAUUGGAAUGAAUAAAAUCACUCUAUAAUAUAUUCUCUCAUUUUAUUCUUUAUCUUGCAUUGUUUCUUUAUUUGUAUUGCUGGCUAAUAUCUUUUUUUAUUUUUUAUAAGACUACCUCAUCCUAAAAAAAAAUCAAUUCAUAUUUUUUUAUCAGUUUCAUCAAGUGUAAAAUAAGAAAAAAUGAUAAUACUAAAUUCUUUUUUCAAAGCCGCGUGAAGCGCGAUUUUAUUUUCUAGUAUAUAUAUAAAGCUGGGACUUGAGGAGGUGAUGUGGCAUCACCAUUUCUCAUUUUUGUAUAUUCUCUAUUAUCUAAUAAAUAGAGAAAUUUUCUUUUAGAUUUGGCUUUUCAUCUUAUCAUAAUUAAUUUGAUUGUUAUUACACAAUAACAAUUAUGUAAAGGUUUUAAUGAGGUACAUUCUUUGUAAUGAACAUCAAAGGGGGAGUGUUAUGAAUUUACUAAAAUAAAUGUAGAUGUUCAUAAUAUAUAUCUCUUAGUCUCCCCACUAUCUCCGAUUAGCAACCUUUAGCUUCCCUAUAACUCCCACUAUCUCAUAAAGAAUUAUGAUCUAUAAUUUUUCAUUAAUUUCAUGGAGCGAUUAUGUAACUAUAAAAGGAGAGCUCAUCUUUUUGUUUUGUACACACACAAUUGGAAUGAAUAAAACCACUCUAUAAUAUAUUCUCUCAUUUUAAUUUUUAUCUUGCGUUGCUUAUUUAUUUGUAUUGCUGGCUAAUAUGUUUUUUUGUUUUUUAUAAGGCUGCCUCAUCUUAAAAAAAAAUCAAUUCAUAUUUUUUAUCAGUUUCAUCAAGUGUAAAGUAAGAAAAAAGAAUAAUGCUAAAUUUUUUUUUCAAAGCUGCGUGAAGCGCAGUUCUAUUUUUUAGUUUAUGUAUAAAAGGAGGGACUCUCAAUCCGACCCUUUUGUAUAUAAUAAAUAAUUUCAAAGAUAGAAAAAUGUAUACUUCAGUAUAGUGUAUUUUGACAUGUAUUAUAUUGAAUUAUUUUUUUUUUCACUUUAUCUCUUAAUUUAAUAAAGUAAAAGAUUCUCUUAUUAUAAAAUUAAUUACUAUAUAUACUAUAAAACCUCUCUACAGUGAUAUUCUAUAUAGAAAUAAUUUCUAUGUAGUCAUGAAAAAUUAUGCUUUCAAUUUGUGCUACUUAUAAAUAAAAAUAAACUCACUAUUUUAAAAACUUUUUUGGAUCCCGUAUUAACAAAAUUAUCUCUCUGCAAUAAUAAUUAUCUAUAUAUUAAAAAAGUGUAUGCUGUUUUGCACUAAUGAUAUAAUAUAGAAUGAAAUAUCUUUUAAAGUUGUUUGAGACAAUAAUUUAUUCUUUAAAAUGAUUAAUAAAUUAUUAUUUGAAAGAAUACAAACAUUUGGACUUGCACUUUGCAUUUUGAAUAUUUCCAACAUUGCAUAGAUACAUGUAUUUUUAUUUUUCGUCACUAUCACUUUUAUAAAUUAGAUUUGACAGCCUUCAUUUAUUAAUUAUUAAUGUAAUUUAUAUUUUACCCUCGUAUCACUUGCACCAAUAAUAAUUAAGUCAAAACAAUAAUAUUUGUAACUACACUUCUAUUAAUUUAUAAUUUAUUUAUAGUAAUAAAGUUAAUUUGGCCCCAAUAUUAUGAUUAUAGAGAAGUUUUAUUAGAUAUAUUAAUUAAUACAUUUGUGGUAUAUGUACAUUUUUAUUUAAAUUUCUUAUAAAUUUAUUUGUUUGUUUUACAUACUUUCAAUAUAUAUGAGUUAAUUUUUGGGUUGAUGUACUCGAAGUAAGUUUUCAUCAUCAUCAUCAUCAUCAUCAUCAUCAUCAUCAUCAUCAUCAUCAUCAUCAUCAUCAUCAUCAUCAUCAUCAUCAUCAUCAUCAUCAUCCUCUUUUAAGAAAGAUACAAAAAGAGUAGACUUGUAUUAUUGUGAUGAUGUUGUUGACGAUGAAUUAAUGAUUAUUGUUUUAAUAUUAUUGAAAAGGCAGAAUUAUGUGAUUCACGUGCGAGAAGCAGUAAUGUGAAAUUUGAAUGGAAGAAACUUAAAGCCGGCACACUUGAGGACCCCUGAAAGGCCUUAGUUCACAGAGCACUCACGCUCACCGAUCCAACUCAAAUUGGCCUAGAAGAGUGUGUUCUGCCACUUAUUAGAACGAGACAGAUGCAACGAUGAAAAUCUCGUCACGACAAUAAUAAAUAAAUUAAAUUUGAGUCACUCAAAUAAAAAACAAAAAACUCCAAGCUUAGAAGAUUAGAAUUCAUAAAUAAAAUUAUUCUCUAUACUAACAAAGUCCUCCCCUUUUAGCGGCUAUCUCCGAUCAACAAUUUUAAGAAAAUAAUAUCGAUGAUGGAGUUACAAUUUUAAGAUGAGUUGUUAAGCUCGUUUCCCUAUUUAUAAAAAGGGAAAAAGUCAUUUUUACUCCUGAAAUUCGAUACAAUAGUACAUUUUAUUCUUAUUUUUUUUAAUCCAUUUUAUCCUUAUUUUUUAAAUAAUAGUACAAAAUACCUAUCUAUAAAUUUAUAGUUAAGUUUACUCUAUAAUUAAUUGAGGGUAAAAUAAGAUUUUUAGUUAAAUAAUUGCAAACCAUUUUAAAACAAAAGUUUCAAGAACAAUUAAAUAACAUCUGAAUUUUUAUAUAAAUUUAUAAUUUAAAGGUAACUUAACAAAAUAAAAUAAUACUAAAGAAUAUGCAACGCGUGCGCACUCGCACACGUAUUGUUCAUCAAAUUUUUUUAAUGAAGUCAAUUAAAUUUUUAUAUAUAACAACAACAACAACAACAAUAAUAAUAAUAAUGAUAAUUUUUCAAUUGAGAAUCAUUGUCCUUAGUGUGUAUUUUCUUAAGUGAAUGAAGGAAUUUGUGUUUACUUACCAUAGAAUAAUAGUACUGAUUAUUUAUUUAUCUAUCUUGACUAUAUUAAAUUUAAGGAUAAACUAAAGGAUGAAAAAAAAAAGUGCCUGUGAAAUGUUUUUUCUUUUAUUUUGUCCAAAAAAUAUGUAUCUUACAUAUUAUUUAUAGCUGACUUGUCCUCUGGAGGCAAGUUAAAAUCGUCCACGUGAGGGGCUUCACGAUAAUAAUCAUCCAUGAACUUCAAAUCCUACUCAGGAUAGUGGUCCUUCAUCACUUUCUUGCAAUCAUCAACCCUAGCAAAGAAUUCCACCUCCUUCACUUGCUUAAAUUCAGCCAAUUGGAGAUAAGCUUUGAUAUGGCUCUAAUAACUGUUCUGACGCUGUUGCCUCAGGCGAGAUAGCUCUUCAUCUUUGUUCUUGAUCACAUCGUUGUUGAUGCUAUACUCCAAUUUGAGAGAUUCAUGAAUGGAUUUGAGGGCUGCAAGCUCAGUCCUUAGCUGGAUUACUUCACUGCAACCUUAUUUUUCUCACUUCUGGCUUUAGAACAUUCACCUUUUGAAUUUCGGUAUAGAUUGUAUGCUUGGAUCAUGUUCAUAGUGACCUAUGAAUGUUCAAUAAAGAAAUUUUAUCGAUGUCAGGCAAUAAAGAGAGCAACAACAAACCCAAGAGGGAAUCAUAAAGCCAACCUUGUGAGCAUUACCUAUGAAGGCAGAGAAUAGGACCUCUGGGUCAGUCUGCUUUGAACGAAGACAUGCUUGUAAGAAAAUGUCCUCUUCAAAGACGAAAGGUGGCUAGGUCAUGUUCGAGCUCGCUAUGCUAAAAAGUCUAGUUAGCCAAAUCAUCAAACAUGAGAGCUAAAGUGUGCUCAGGUGAUCUCAAAUUGGUUGGCAGUUGGGUUUUUUUCCCGGCUUGCAAGGUGCCAUGAGGGACAGAUUGAUUUGAGGGGGCUUCGAGGACUGAGAUUGAGUCGAAGAAGGAGUAGCGCCGUGCUUUCGAGAGGUGGACUCCCCGGGAGGUAAGUUUGUUGGCCUUAUUCUCUUUCUACUACCAAUUUGAGACAUGAUAACUGUGCGUCCUCAACACCAAAUAAAUGUAAAGAAGUAAAAAGGAGAGAAACUAAAACUGGUCACAGUGCAAAUAGUACGAUACAUACCAACAGGAAUGAGACCAAAUUCUUGGUAUAAAGUCUUGCUGAAUAGAGAAAUCACAUCAAAUUGCAAAAAGCUAACUUGACCACAUUGAAUGUUGCCAAGCAAUUCCGCAGAUAAAAUAGGUGAAGAAUGCCAAAUCGCAACCACAAAAUUAAAAUUAUAUGAUAAAAGUAAUGAACCACAAACCACGAAGACAAAAAUCAACCUAGAGUUUGAAAGAAAGUGGAAAAAGAAUCGCUAGUGUUGGGGUCACUAGAACACCAGCUUUCAGAAGCAAGAAACUAAACUAAGAAUCUUUCCAACCCUUAGUUGACCAAGGAAAUCAGGGGUGAUAAUUGGAUCAAUGCGAGCCCAGUCGGCCAAGUAGUACCAAACACUUCCUUUGGCAACUGAUUUGAUCUGAUACAAUCUUUUAAACUCACCAAAAGAGAAGUUAGAUUGGUUUCCCGAAAGUUUCCGGAUUAAAUAAUGACCAAGAAGGGCCAACUACAGGGUUAAGUUGAGCGGGGGCAACGUUGAAGGAUCACAAAAACAAACAAAUAAAAGGGUGUAAGGGUACCUUAUCCUAACUUUGAACAUAGAAGUGUAAAGGGCUACAGAGCCCUCUGGAGGUGUUGCCAUAUUUUCGUUAGGGUUUAGAAUCGUAAGCUUUACGGAGUUUGGAAUUUGAAAAUCCUUUUUCAAUUUGUUGAUCAUGCGAAGAGUGGCUUUAGAUUCCCACCGAUUGGCUGAAAACCCCUCUAUUAAGACGUCUUGGUCCUUAUCAUCAGCAACAUGAAUUGUGGUCGUAGAAGGAGGAGAAACACAGGAGGAACGACGCGUGAGACUCUUGGUGACUCCUCUACAUGACCCUUUACUUUUGCUUGAUUUGCUAUGCUCAACUCUGAAUGGAUCCAUGAAAGCCACAAAAUGAAGAAAAGAAAAAGAAAAAGAGAGAAAGGUGAUAAGUAUACCUGGGUUAGGUAAAAGAAUGAAGACCCAAACAUCGUGAGAAGGAAAGAAAUGAGAGCAGAGAUUGGGAACGAUAUGUAUCUCAAGGGUAGUGUUUAAUUUCAAAUUUUAAAAUCCACAUAAGAGCCCAUUAACUUCCUAGUUCUCAAUAAGAGAUUUUUUAAUUUUGAAAACUCUUAUCAUGAACUGGGGUUUAUGUUGAUCUAAAAUUUAUUUAUUCUUACCACUUCCAAGGGGUUCAGGGUCUCUAGGAAGAAAAAUUAGAUCUCUUGAAGGCAGGAAUGUAGAUUAUUAGGUGGGCAUUAAGGAUCCGUCGAAGUGGAAAAUACGGAACUCUCAACUGAGACCUUGAAUUGGUCAAAAGCACUGACUCAGUAGGACUAAAAUAUUAUGACCAUGUUUAUCACUUAAGAAAUAAUUGCAAGAACACGAAGAAAGUGGGUAAGGAAGUUGGUUACAAGACUAAUACACACCCAAAAAGUAGGAGCACAAUCCACUCCUAAAAUCAUGCCCUAUUUUUUUUUUCUAAAUAAAGGUAAUUUUUAAGGGAAAAAUGCCGAAAGAAAGGUAUGAAAGACUGAAUGAACUAUUGUAUUUUUCAGCUACCAAAUAGCAUACUGACUUAAGCAUUAGAUUGGGCUCACUGGAAAUCACCAUCUGCAGUCCCAUUUCACCGUUUUUCUUUGUUUGUGACUCUGUGUGCAGGUUACCUCUAUUUGUUGUACUUGAUUUGUUUCAAGCAGGAAAAAAAUCAGACGUAAACAAUUAUUAUCUUAAUUUUAUGUUUUUAUUUAUGUAGGUAAUAUCAAAAUAAAAAGAGCUAAAACAUAAAUUAAAUUCGAACAUUUGCGAAGAAAUUUGUUUAAAAGAAUCCAAAAGAGAAAGAAUAUAGAAAUUUAAUUGAAACAAGUUAAAGAAGAUGCAAUUAAAUUAACCAUCAUGCUUGCAUUUAUGUGGAGCACUAGAAGGCAAUCAAAUUAGAUUAUAUCAUAAAGAUGGCACAUGGAAACUUAAAGAAUUUGGUAUAAGCUUUAUAGCUUAAACAGGAAGUUGGUAGAUUCGUAUUAUACAGGUAUGAGGCUAGCAAAUCCUUGGUUAAGGAGUAUUUCUAUUUAAUAAGGGUUUAUCGGCCUUUAUUACAAUAAAAAAAGAGGAGUAUUGGGGGCAUAAUGAAAGAGAGACUUAAAAAGAGCUGAAGUAAAUGAAGCUGAGAGAAGAGAAGCAGAACACACUCAAUUAGAAGCUAAAUCCAAGAGCUGCAGGAGCAAUUUAGAAAAAAAGAGAUGUUGAGAUUACUUUUUUGAGUUUUUCUUUUCGUUUUCCAAUUGUCUUGCUAGAAUGUUCUCUAGUAUAUUUAUGAGUUCUCUUAAUUUUCUCAAGAACUAAUCUAUUUUGUUAGGGUCACGAUGUAGCCUAAUAUAAAUUUGUGUUAUUUUUAAUUUAUUAUUUCAUGAUUGAGUGUUUAUUACUGUGCUUAAUACUUUUAUAAAUUAAACGGGAGACAAAGAUGUACUAACUUAAUUUGUGCAGUUAAUUUAAGAAUACCUUAGAAUUUAAUAUGUUUUCAUAUAUUGUAAUACAUACAGAGAUAUAGUGUAUUAGAAAAUCGGAAUAUAUUUGAUAUUGCUUGAGAAAGGAUUGUUGAGUACUAGAGAAUUCAUAUUUAUAAAAGGUAAAAGUAUUUUUUUCGCUCCAAGUCUCACUAAUAUUUUUACUUUUAUGUAUUCAAGUCUGAUGAGAACCCCUCUAGAUCUAACUAGAAAAACCCACAACUAGAUUGAUAAGAACCCAAUAAAGCCAAUAUGAUCAGAAUUCGGAUAAAAGAUCCAAACCUUUGAGAAGCUAAAUCUCAAGAACUCAGAUUGCUAAAUAAGAUGCCAUAGAGGUUAGCUAUUUCUUUGAUAAGUCAGAAGUUCUUUUAAGAACAAGUUGAGAAAAUCUUCUCUAGUGAUAUCAAACUCAAGAUUGUCAAAAAGUCUAUUCAAAGAACAUAAAAGAAUGUUUAUAUAAGGUGGCUAACCCUAAUUUAACUUAAAAACACGAAAAGAACCCUAAAAUAAAAAUCCGAAGUGGCAUGGGCCUUGGCCUGCAGAGCCAUUGAUUUUAAACAGACCGUAACUUAUGCAUAUGAUGUCGGAUUUGGGCCCCAAAUAUUUCCUUUCGAAGCUCUCGACGUAAGUAAUGCAGCUAUAACUUUAGGAUUGUUUUUCUAGCCAUUCUUCUACUUUAAAAAUCAUCUUCACCGAUGCGCACCACCUCAUUAGCUUGAAUCAAGUAUAUCAAGGCUGGUUCCUCCUCUUUCAAGUCCAUCUUGAACAUUGGUCUCUUGCAAAUUGAAUUUUUAUUGGAUUCGUCCAAAGUAGCUUGAACAAAUCUUUGCAUUGCUUCCUUGAUCGUUUUAGCUCAUGCUCUCGUAAUUGGCCCUUCUAGAAUAAGUAACGGAUGUUUAAUGCUUUGAGCACCCUGGAUCACAUCAAAGUCCUUUAAACUUUGAUUGUGUAUAUCUAUAUAUUUAUAUAAAAUUAGGACUACAAGAGGUGAUGUGGCAUCACCAUUUCUCAUCUUUAUAUAUUCUCUAUUAUCUAAUAAAUAGAGAAAUUUUCUUUCAGAUUUGGUUUUUCAACUUCUUAUAAAUAAUUUGACUGUUAUUAUACAAUCAAUAUAUAACACUAGGGGUGGGUAAAAUCGGGUUCGGGUCAAUCCGAUCGGGUGCUCGGGUUGGGUAAAAAUUAAUCGGAAUGCAAUUUGAACUUAUAACUCGAUCCGAUCCGACCCGAUUUAGAUCAGGUCAAAAAUCAGAUUAAAUUCGGAUGAGUUCGAGUUUAGAUAAUAGACCAGAAUUUCCUCGGUUUCUACCAUUUGUGAGCGCGGGUUCAAAGCCUAACACGCACGCAUCAAACUUUCUCCUGAAUUAAAUUUGAAAAAGAAAAAGAAAAAGAAAAUUAUAUUACAGAAAAGCCCCCAAUUUAGAAGGCCAUCAAAAAUCAAAAUCGACUAGGGCGGCUCUUCUGGAAUCUAAUUAAAGAGUCUCUGCUCCAGUACACUAACGAUGAAACCCUAGAAAAAAAAAACAAAAAAACACCAAAAACAAAAUCAAAAGCCAACAGAAUAAGGAGAAGAAACCCCCUUGGAGUUCGCAUUCACUGUCACAAAAGUUGCGGUGUCUCAGGUAUGCCGUUCUGUUGGGUUCAAGGCGGCGGAAAGCUCAGCCCUUGAAGCCCUCGGGUGGCCGCAGACACGCAACAAAUUGGGAUCAAGCGUGAAGAGGGGUCUUGCUUCUGGUCUAGAAUGAGAAGUUGCUGGUGCAAUAGAGAUGAGAAGUUGAGUAAUAGAGAUGAGAAGUUGAGCGAGGGAGAUGGUUGUGGGUUCGUGGCUGUGGCUGUCGGCGGCUUGAUGUGAGGGCUACUAGGUGAAGCUGUGUUGGGUCUUGGCCUCUUGGGUGUGUAUUGUGUUGUGUAUGUGUUUUGUGUAAUGCGUAUGUAAUAUGUGUUCUUUGUCUGUGAUUUGUGUUUUGUGAUGUGUAUGUGUUCUGUGAAUCUGUGUUCUGUGAUUUGUGUCAUUGUGUGUGUGGCGUGCGUGUGUUAGCUGUUAGUUUUUUUUUUUUAAAGCAACCCGAUCGGGUUUCGGAUCAGGUACCACCCGAUCCGAUCAUAAUCCGAUUGGGUUUAAAAGAUUUUAUCUGAUCGGGUACUAUUAAUAAUCUUGAUUAACACUAAAAAGUAUACGUGUAAUAAGAAUAAAAUUAUUAGUUUUUUACUUAAAGUGUUGAUUAAUACGCGCGUAACUUAUAAAUUAUAUGAAUGCUCCUUAAAUAAAUUUUUGUGUUAAAUUAAUUCGUAAUAUGUUAAUUUUUAUCUUAUAAAUAUUUUUCAAGAAUAAAUUAGAAUUGAAAGCGGUAACAAAGAAGACUACUGGAGCAAUGUGGAAGCAUAAUUGAAGAGAUGUAAAUAAAAAAUAAAAAAAAUAAAAAAUGAAAAUGAAUAAAAAUAAAAAAAUGAAAAAAGAACAAAAACCAAGCAAUUUGGUUUCUCGUGAUGGUUAAGUCAUGACCACUUGACCAUUACACAUUUCAAUGUACAUAUAUAUAUAUAAUAAUAAUAAAAUAAAUAAAGAUAAUGCAUUCCUUGCCUAUAAAAGGGCAAGGAAAUGCAGGGAGCAGAGGUGGAG